CGCGCACGCGCCGGCCCGCGUGGGUCGAGCUCCAGCCGCUGGGGCUAUCUCCGCGUCCUGCCACCGAGGGCUGCUUGCCGUUGGUUCUCUCCUCCCGCUAGUCCGCUUCUCUCGACGUCUAGCCAAACCUUGCCUAUGCGCUCAGUGCCGUUGCAACUUCUGAAGGCACAAGGUUGAAAAUUAGCUUGUACAGACACAAGCGUCCUGCGACGGAGACAAGGGAAGCUGCCCACACUCCAUUCGGUGCUUUCACUGGGCAGGAAGGAGGAACCCCGAUGGGUCUUCUGCUGCUGCCUAAAGCUGAGGAUCGAACCCAGGCCACACACAUGCCAGGCAAGCGCGAUACCGCUUGAGCCACAUCCCCAGCCCCACAAUUCUCAUCUUAAUAAAGCGU
rnacentral:lncRNA from 1 species